rnacentral:ncRNA from 1 species
UACCUGGUUGAUCCUGCCAGUAGUCAUAUGCUUGUCUCAAAGAUUAAGCCAUGCAAGUCUAAGUACGAGCUCUCGUACAGUGAAACUGCGAAUGGCUCAUUAAAUCAGUUAUGGUUCAUUUGAUCGUACAGUUUACUUGGAUAACUGUGGUAAUUCUAGAGCUAAUACAUGCGAGAAGCGCCGACCUCGCGGGAGGCGUGCAUUUAUCAGACCAAAAACCGGCCGCGUCUUCGGGCGCGUUCGCCUUGGUGACUCUGGAUAACUUUGCGGAUCGCACGGUCUAGCACCGGCGACGGAUCAUUCAAGUGUCUGCCCUAUCAACUUUCGGA